rnacentral:rRNA from 3 species
GGGUGUGUAAGCGCAGCGAUGCGUUGAGCUUACCGGUACUAAUGACCCGUGAGGCUUAACCUU